rnacentral:rRNA from 1 species
AGUAGGGAAUAUUGCACAAUGGAGGAAACUCUGAUGCAGCGAUGCCGCGUGAGUGAAGAAGGCCCUUGGGUUGUAAAGCUCUUUCGUCGGGGAAGAAAAUGACUGUACCCGAAUAAGAAGGUCCGGCUAACUUCGUGCCAGCAGCCGCGGUAAUACGAAGGGACCUAGCGUAGUUCGGAAUUACUGGGCUUAAAGAGUUCGUAGGUUGUUAAAAAAGUUGGUGGUGAAAUCCCAGAGCUCAACUCUGGAACUGCCAUCAAAACUUUUUAGCUAGAGUAUGAUAGAGGAAAGCAGAAUUUCUAGUGUAGAGGUGAAAUUCGUAGAUAUUAGAAAGAAUACCAAUUGCGAAGGCAGCUUUCUGGAUCAUUACUGACGCUGAGGAACGAAAGCAUGGGUAGCGAAGAGGAUUAGAUACCCUCGUAGUCCAUGCCGUAAACGAUGUGUGUUAGACGUUGGAAAUUUAUUUUCAGUGUCGCAGCGAAAGCAGUAAACACACCGCCUGGGGAGUACGACCGCAAGGUUAAAACUCAAAUGAAUUGACGGGGACCCGCACAAGUAGUGGAGCAUGUGGUUUAAUUCGAAGAUACGCGCAGAACCUUACCAACACUUGACAUGUUCGUCGCGACUCUAAGAGAUUAGAGUUUUCGGUUCGGCCGGACGAAACACAGGUGCUGCAUGGCUGUCGUCAGCUCGUGUCGUGAGAUGUUGGGUUAAGUCCCGCAACGAGCGCAACCCUCACUUUUAGUUGCCAUCAUUUAGUUGGGCACUCUGAAAGAACUGCCAGUGAUAAGCUGGAGGAAGGUGGGGAUGACGUCAAGUCCUCAUGCCCCUUACGUGUUGGGCUACACACGUGCUACAAUGGCAUUUACCAUAGGAAGCAAGA